AUGAUGGAGGACGACAACGAGGAAUAGUUGAUCAUGGAAGUUCAAAAUAAUCCAAUUCUGUAUGCUUCUAACUGCUCAUUGUAACAUUUAAAUAUUGUACUGCUGUCUUCUGUAAAAGUUGUGCAGCACACAUGUUAGUAGACACGCCACCUUGAAGCAACAGUUCUUUUUUUCACUACCCUACAAGCUCUGGAUAGCCUUAAUUAUAUAUUUUCUUCCUGUCUUCAAAACUGUGUCCAGCGUAGGGUCUCAUAAUACGUUUUACAGGAACGACCUCAUAUCCAAAAAUGAUAUGAGGGACAAUGUUUGGUGAUCCUGGUAGUGGUUUGUCAGCUGGCAAAGACAGUGCUUGUAGAGCUUUUGUCAUCAGUACCACAGAGAUAGUACUUCAUAAAAUGUUGAGCCAGAAUUGGGAGGGGCUUGAAUCACUAGAUGUUUGUUAUCUAUGGCACCAAUGCAGUUUGUGAACUGCCAUUGUUUCUGGAAUUCCAUGUACUGUGGCUUUAAAUGACAGCAAAUAGCCUUGCAAUCCUCAGGUACAAUGCCAACAAUUGUUGACUUGCCAACUCUAUACUAAAUAUUGUUUUGUAUGAAUCACCAGUAGCCAAGUAUCUGUAGUUGCAAAAUUUGGAAGGACGGAAAAGGAAACACUCAUUGAGAUGGAUCCUGAAACAUUGAUCUCCGAUGCAACGUGUGCUGGCAUGUAUGUUUGUUUCUGUGUCGGCGUGGAGCACACAGCUGAAGAAACUAACAGCGAAAAUGUACAAUGUGCAUUUUCUAUGCUCAUGGAAAGCUCCAGAAACAUGAGCUUUGUGCCUGCUGCUACAGAAAAUCCAUUUAACAACAAAAUCAAACUUUCAAACCAUAUCAUUCAGUGGCUAAAGGAUAAUCUACUAGGAUGGUCGAUGCAAUGUGCUGAAUCUGUUGGAAGGGAUUUUGUAGACAAACUCACUGAUGUUUUAUGGUACAUUGAUGGCCGCAAGGAAACAUUGGCAUCACGUUCCCAUUCCUGAUGUGUCUGUACUGCAAAGUUUUUGGAGCUUUCCAUAUGAAAUUUUAACGGGUUUUGUGAAUAAAAUAUAAUUAUUCAAUAACUGUAAUGUCUGAGAUUCUUACAUUUGAGUAUGUCAACUAUUUUUGAUGCAUGUACAGUAGAAGCUGUAUUAAGAUUCCUCAAGCUGCAUACUCCUUGUUCCGCCUUUCAAUGGAUUCAUGAGUAUUUUACAAGUUUCUGCUGUUUCGAAUUUAAAUGCCGGCAUGGAGAAAAAAAAAAAAAAAAA